UGGCGCCCAACGUGGGGCUGGAUACGAGGGAAUCCUGUGAGGAAGAGAGCGCGUAACACGGCCGGCAGUCAAAGUGAAAGAAAAACCUUCCAGCUGCCGCGGGAGCCUGCCGCGUCGGCAAUAAAGGUAAGCGUUGCGCUCAAAUAUGGGACAAGAAUUAAGCCAACAUGAACUCUAUGUAGAACAAUUAAAAAAGGCUCUAAAGACACGGGGAGUAAAGGUUAAGGGUAAUGAUUUGCUCAAAUUCUUUGAUUUUGUAAAGGAUACCUGCCCUU
rfam:Simian retrovirus 2, complete genome.